rnacentral:tRNA from 1 species
GCCUCUGUAGUUCAGUUGGUUCGAGCACUGUACCGGAAUCACAGGGCUGCAGGUUUGAUUCCUGCCAGAGGAC